AUGAGCCCGUUGCAUGGCACUGACGAUUGGAUCUGGAGCAUCGUCCUGUUUGCACAUCAUCCAUGGAAUGCCUGUCUGGAGGUUUACAGCCAUUGCCGCUGCCCAGCGAACAUAAGAGGAUUGGAGGAAACAAGAAAUGGUAUUUUCAUUCUGAAUAAUCCAGAGAUUCUCUUCUAUGGUUGCAGUCUUGCAGACCAUAUAGCAUUGUUCAAGGUUUCAAAGGCACUGCGUUGGGUAGUUGGAUACCUUGUAGGGUUCAUUGUUGCAUCUGAAGGUAAUGUUUGGGACACCACGCAACCAAAAUGGCAAGCCUCUGCAUGA
rnacentral:rRNA from 1 species